GAGGGAAAAAAAGUAUCAUGAUAUAACUAAUGCUUUGAUAUGACUUAGCGAUUUUCUAUGCUGUUCAUUUGGACUAUUGGACAUUGUUGUACCUUCUUUGACAUAGCGUCUGCAAGUCAUAUCUUGGGGAAGAACUUUCAGCUUCCUGACAGCCCAGAGGGAUGGGCCUUUCUAUCCAUCACGACUUGUCUUCUAGUCCGAUUUUCCUCUUCAAUUUUCUUCAAAUUUUUUCAUGGACCAAUUACUCAUUUCAUGGCCUGUCAUUUGGUUUCAUGUCUUAGGUAAAGCUCCCACUAUUUAGGUGAUAUCCCAUUCUCCCAUUUAUGUCUCAUCUCCAUAUCAGUGGGCCAAGAAUUCACAAAGCUGCAUACAAAGGCUGUUAGUUGAUCUAUGAAGUCCCUCCAAUCCUCUAAGCGCGUUAAUGCCUCAGCGAAAGGCCUCGGCUACGUGGGGACACCACAACAGGUUAUUAAAGCAGCCUAGGACUUCCUCGCCGAAUUAAUAUAUGAGAAUUCUGAAUUCAAUACCAACGAAAGGUUGGCAACUUUGAUAUAUAUAUAUUGCCCAAGAAGAAGAAAGUGUCGGAUAUUACUAGAUGAAAUUGUUAUUUGAUAAUGGUUCUAUUUUGACAUGGAAGACUUGGGCUUUUGUUGUUAGGACUCGUCUCUAUUGCUUGGAUUACUAUUUUUAAGAGAUAUAUUUUCGAAUAAA